AAAGAUGCAAACGCUGCCAUCUGAAGAGUCAGUAUCAGGAGUGAAUUACUUGUAAGUUGGCGAAACAGGAAGUAAAUGGGCAGUGACACAUAUCGGGGCAUCAUUUUUUCUCAGGGUUGUUCAAGGUUUUCAGCUGCAUUUAAGAAUGAGUUGCCUUUUGCAAGGAAGUAAAUACUUUUAAGUAAACCACUUGCUAAAGCCCAGAAGAGGUAAGUUAAAGUUACCGCCUAAGAUCCUUUAGUUUCCUAUCGAGGCUUGUGCGGGUUACGAGGAAGAGAAUACCUUGUAUUUUUAAUUUUCUAGAUGGCAAGAGCAUUUGAUUUUUUGUGUGGCCAGGUAAUGUCCCAGGCAAAUGGAGAACCCGAGGAUCUUUGGCUAAGCAGUAUUCACUUGACACUUCUAGCUUAAAAUAACUAUCAUUAACUUACAAUGGGAAUUAUUGUCCAUGUUUCAGACUUUUUGGUCUUAUCUGAAUGAAGUGUUCUUUAACAGUUUUUUAAACAACGC
rnacentral:lncRNA from 1 species